UACGUAGGGGGCGAGCGUUGUCCGGAUUUAUUGGGCGUAAAGAGCGUGUAGGCGGCCAGGUAGGUCUGCUGUGAAAACUCGAGGCUCAACCUCGAGACGUCGGCGGAAACCAUCUGGCUAGAGUCCGGAAGAGGAGAGUGGAAUUCCUGGUGUAGCGGUGAAAUGCGUAGAUAUCAGGAGGAACACCGGUGGCGAAAGCGCUCAUCUGGCCCGAUACUGACGCUGAAGCACGAAAGCUAGGGGAGCAAACGGG
rnacentral:rRNA from 1 species